rnacentral:rRNA from 1 species
GAUGAACGCUAGCGGCAGGCCUAAUACAUGCAAGUCGGACGGGAUUGAGGAGCUUGCUUCUCAUGAGAGUGGCGCACGGGUGCGUAACACGUAUGUAACCUACCUUAGUCAGGGGGAUAGCCUCUCGAAAGAGAGAUUAACACCGCAUAACAUUAAGUUGUGGCAUCACAGUUUAAUCAAAUAUUUAUAGGACUAAGAUGGGCAUGCGGAACAUUAGCUAGUUGGUAAGGUAACGGCUUACCAAGGCAAAGAUGUUUAGGGGAUCUGAGAGGAUGACCCCCCACACUGGUACUGGAACACCGACCAGACUCCUACGGGAGGCAGCAGUAAGGAAUAUUGGUCAAUGGACGCAAGUCUGAACCAGCCAUGCCGCGUGCAGGAAGACGGCCCUACGGGUUGUAAACUGCUUUUGUACCGGAAUAAACCUUUUCACGUGUGAGAAGCUGAAUGUACGGUAAGAAUAAGGAUCGGCUAACUCCGUGCCAGCAGCCGCAGUAA